rnacentral:rRNA from 1 species
UUGAACGCUGGCGGCAUGCUUUACACCUGCAAGUCGGACGGCAGCACAGAGAAGCUUGCUUCUUGGGUGGCGAGUGGCGAACGGGUGAGUAAUAUAUCGGAACGUACCGAGUAAUGGGGGAUAACUAAUCGAAAGAUUAGCUAACACCGCAUAUUCUCUGAGGAGGAAAGCAGGGGACCUUCGGGCCUUGCGUUAUUCGAGCGGCCGAUAUCUGAUUAGCUAGUUGGUGGGGUAAAGGCCUACCAAGGCGACGAUCAGUAGCGGGUCUGAGAGGAUGAUCCGCCACACUGGGACUGAGACACGGCCCAGACUCCUACGGGAGGCAGCAGUGGGGAAUUUUGGACAAUGGGCGCAAGCCUGAUCCAGCCAUGCCGCGUGUCUGAAGAAGGCCUUCGGGUUGUAAAGGACUUUUGUCAGGGAAGAAAAGGCUGUUGCUAAUACCGACAGCUGAUGACGGUACCUGAAGAAUAAGCACCGGCUAACUACGUG